CAAAGAGGUCUAUCUUCACUGGUGUACGUAUCUUCACUGGUGUACGUGGCCAAAGAGGUCUAUCUUCACUGGUGUGCGUGGCCAAAGAGGUCUAUCUUCACUGGUGUUCGUGGCCAAAGAGGUCUAUCUUCACUGGUGUGCUUGGCCAAAGAGGUCUAUCUUCACUGGUGUGCGUUGCCAAAGAGGUCUAUCUUCACUGGUGUGCAUGGCCAAAGAGGUCUAUCUUCACUGGUGUGCGUGGCCAAAGAGGUCUAUCUUCACUGGUGUACGUGGCCAAAGAGGUCUAUCUUCAUGGCACCAUUUCCAAUCCAAGUGACAAAGCUGUUUAGCAAAUUCUAAACGUUUACAUUUGUUGGAUGACAUGAAAAUUGAGCUCUUUGACGACGCACAUCAG
ensembl:lncRNA